CUCAGUUCCCCUCUCUGGAGCUUGCUGGGCUGGCCUCAGAGACACCCUUCUGGGACGGAGUGAUAAACAGACCCGGUUUCAAGUUCAGACUCAGCUCUGUGACCUAAGGCAACUUGCUUAACCUCUCUGGACCUCAGUUUCCUCAUCUGUACAACAGGUUUAUUGUGAGAGUAAAAUAAUGGCUGUAAAUAUCUUGACACAGUUCCCAGUCCAUUGGAAGUGGCCACCUUGGGCUAGAGGCUGGCAGAAAUGAAUGAGCACCAACCCUACUUGUGAAGAGUUUGAAGUCUGGUGGGGAGGACACCCGGGAAAAUAUAACUGCACUGGAGUGCAGUUGGCCCUGUAGUGCUGGGCCAGUGCUGGGCAUCCUAACUCCAUCACUUACUAGCUGUGUGAUUUGGGGCAAGUUGGUCAAUCUCUCUGUGCUGCACGUGCAUCUCAGAGUCAUUGGGAAGAUUCAGUGACAUGAAUCAUGACAUAUUCAACACAUAGAUGUUGAAAU
rnacentral:lncRNA from 10 species